rnacentral:rRNA from 1 species
CGGCAGCACAGAAGAGCUUGCUCUUUGGGUGGCGAGUGGCGGACGGGUGAGUAAUGUCUGGGAAACUGCCCGAUGGAGGGGGAUAACUACUGGAAACGGUAGCUAAUACCGCAUAACGUCGCAAGACCAAAGUGGGGGACCUUCGGGCCUCACACCAUCGGAUGUGCCCAGAUGGGAUUAGCUAGUAGGUGGGGUAAUGGCUCACCUAGGCGACGAUCCCUAGCUGGUCUGAGAGGAUGACCAGCCACACUGGAACUGAGACACGGUCCAGACUCCUACGGGAGGCAGCAGUGGGGAAUAUUGCACAAUGGGCGCAAGCCUGAUGCAGCCAUGCCGCGUGUAUGANGAAGGCCUUCGGGUUGUAAAGUACUUUCAGCGGGGAGGAAGGCGGUGAGGUUAAUAACCUUGCCGAUUGACGUUACCCGCAGAAGAAGCACCGGCUAACUCCGUGCCAGCAGCCGCGGUAAUACGGAGGGUGCAAGCGUUAAUCGGAAUUACUGGGCGUANAGCGCACGCAGGCGGUCUGUUAAGUCAGAUGUGAAAUCCCCGGGCUUAACCUGGGAACUGCAUUUGAAACUGGCAGGCUUGAGUCUCGUAGAGGGGGGUAGAAUUCC